AGAUCCGACACCAGAUCUGACACAACAUCGAUUUCUAUGGCUUCUUUCCCGGUGGCUUCAAGAUCCGACACUAUCUCAGUAGAUCCGACACCAGAUCUACUGGUUUGACUGUAGGAUCUUCCUUUUGGUUGUGGGUUCGUCAACGAUGGUGCUUGUGGGUGGAAGAUCUGGCAAGAUCUAUGGUUUAUUUGUAGUAGAUCUGUUCUUUGAGUUCCACACUAUCUAUUG